AGUGAACGCUGGCGGCAGGCCUAACACAUGCAAGUCGAACGGCAGCACAAGAGAGCUUGCUCUCUGGGUGGCGAGUGGCGGCCGGGUGAGGCAUGCAUCGGAAUCUUCCCAUUUGUGGGGGAUAACCUCGGGAAACCGGGACUAAUACCGCAUACGACCUACGGGUGAAAGCCGGGGAUCUUCGGACCUUGCGCAGAUGGAUGAGCCGAUGCCGGAUUAGCUAGUUGGAGGGGUAAAGGCCCACCAAGGCGACGAUCCGUAGCUGGUCUGAGAGGAUGAUCAGCCACACGGGGACUGAGACACGGCCCAGACUCCUACGGGAGGCAGCAGUGGGGAAUAUUGGACAAUGGGCGCAAGCCUGAUCCAGCCAUGCCGCGUGUGUGAAGAAGGCCUUCGGGUUGUAAAGCACUUUUGUUGGGAAAGAAAAGCAGCCGGUUAAUACCCGGUUGUCAUGACGGUACCCAAAGAAUAAGCACCGGCUAACUUCGUG
rnacentral:rRNA from 1 species